UUGCUUCAGCAGCACAUAUACUAAAAUUGGAAUGAUACAGAGAAGAUCAGCGUGGCCCCUGUGCAAGGAUGACAUGCAAAUUCAUGAAGCGCUCCAUAUUUUU